rnacentral:rRNA from 1 species
AUUGAACGCUGGCGGCAUGCCUUACACAUGCAAGUCGAACGGCAGCACGGGAGCAAUCCUGGUGGCGAGUGGCGAAUGGGUGAGUAAUAUAUCGGAACGUGCCCAGUAGUAGGGGAUAACUGCUCGAAAGAGCAGCUAAUACCGCAUACGACCUGAGGGUGAAAGCGGGGGAUCGCAAGACCUCGCGCUAUUGGAGCGGCCGAUAUCAGAUUAGCUAGUUGGUGGGGUAAAAGCUCACAAAGGCGACGAUCUGUAGCUGGUAUGAGAGGACGACCAGCCACACUGGGACUGAGGCGCGGCCCAGACUCCUGCGGGAGGCAGCAGUGGGGAAUUUUGGACAAUGGGCGCAAGCCUGAUCCAGCCAUGCCGCGUGCGGGAAGAAGGCCUUCGGGUUGUAAACCGCUUUUGUCAGGGAAGAAACGGCUCCUACUAAUACUGGGGGCUAAUGACGGUACCUGAAGAAUAAGGACCGGCUAACUACGUGCCAGCCGCCGCGGUAA